rnacentral:rRNA from 1 species
CUAUACAUGCAGUCGAACGCGCAGCGAAAGGUGCUUGCACCUUUCAAGCGAGUGGCGAACGGGUGAGUAACACGUGGAUAACCUGCCUCAAGGCUGGGGAUAACAUUUGGAAACAGAUGCUAAUACCGAAUAAAACUUAGUAUCGCAUGAUACAAAGUUGAAAGGCGCUACGGCGUCACCUAGAGAUGGGUCCGCGGUGCAUUAGUUAGUUGGUGGGGUAAAGGCCUACCAAGACAAUGAUGCAUAGCCGAGUUGAGAGACUGAUCGGCCACAUUGGGACUGAGACACGGCCCAAACUCCUACGGGAGGCUGCAGUAGGGAAUCUUCCACAAUGGGCGAAAGCCUGAUGGAGCAACGCCGCGUGUGUGAUGAAGGCUUUAGGGUCGUAAAGCACUGUUGUAUGGGAAGAAAUGCUAGAAUAGGGAAUGAUUCUAGUUCGACGGUACCAUACCAGAAAGGGACGGCUAAAUACGUGCCAGCAGCCGCGGUAAUACGUAUGUCCCGAGCGUUAUCCGGAUUUAUUGGGCGUAAAGCGAGCGCAGACGGUUGAUUAAGUCUGAUGUGAAAGCCCGGAGCUCAACUCCGGAAUGGCAUUGGAAACUGGUUAACUUGAGUGUUGUAGAGGUAAGUGGAACUCCAUGUGUAGCGGUGGAAUGCGUAGAUAUAUGGAAGAACACCAGUGGCGAAGGCGGCUUACUGGACAACAACUGACGUUGAGGCUCGAAAGUGUGGGUAGCAAACAGGAUUAGAUACCCUGGUAGUCCACACCGUAAACGAUGAAUACUAGGUGUUAGGAGGUUUCCGCCUCUUAGUGCCGAAGCUAACGCAUUAAGUAUUCCGCCUGGGGAGUACGACCGCAAGGUUGAAACUCAAAGGAAUUGACGGGGACCCGCACAAGCGGUGGAGCAUGUGGUUUAAUUCGAAGCAACGCGAAGAACCUUACCAGGUCUUGACAUCCUUUGAAGCUUCUAGAGAUAGAAGUGUUCU